UGCCCCGAGAUGAGUUCUCCCUGAGACUUUAGGUCUCCUGAAGGAACGUUGAAGACGACGACGUUGAUAGGCCGGGUGUGUAAGCGCAGCGAUGCGUUGAGCUAACCGGUACUAAUGAACCGUGAGGCUUAACCUUACAACGCCGAAG
rnacentral:rRNA from 1 species